UACGGAGGGUGCAAGCGUUAAUCGGAAUUACUGGGCGUAAAGCGCACGCAGGUGGCUGAGUCAGUCGAUUGUGAAAGCCCUGGGCUUAACCUGGGAAUUGCAGUCGAUACUACUCAGCUAGAGUAUGGGAGAGGGCAGUGGAAUUCCCGGUGUAGCGGUGAAAUUCGUAGAUAUGGGGAGGAACACCGGUGGCGAAGGCGGCCAUCUGGACGGAUACUGACGCUGAGACGCGAAAGCGUGGGGAGCAAACAGG
rnacentral:rRNA from 1 species